GACGAACGCUGGCGGCGCGCCUAACACAUGCAAGUCGAACGGAGAUACCAGAAAGAUCCUUUCGGGGUGAAUUUUGACUAUCUUAGUGGCGGACGGGUGAGUAACACGUGAGCAACCUGCCUUACAGAGGGGGAUAACAUCUGGAAACGGAUGCUAAUACCGCAUAACAUUUUGAAACCGCAUGGUUUUGAGAUCAAAGAUUUUAUCGCUGUAAGAUGGGCUCGCGUCCGAUUAGCUAGUUGGUGAGGUAACGGCCCACCAAGGCGACGAUCGGUAGCCGGACUGAGAGGUUGAACGGCCACAUUGGGACUGAGACACGGACCAGACUCCUACGGGAGGCAGCAGUGAGGAAUAUUGGUCAAUGGGCGAGAGCCUGAACCAGCCAAGUAGCGUGAAGGAUGACUGCCCUAUGGGUUGUAAACUUCUUUUGUAUGGGAAUAAAUGACAUUACGUGUAGUGUUUUGUAUGUACCAUUAUGAAUAAGCAUCGGCUAACUCCGUGCCAGCCGCCGCGGUAACAC
rnacentral:rRNA from 1 species